AUCAAGCUAGGCCUUGUCAAGAACAGCGAUUUUACUGCAAGAGCUGACAAUGGAACGGGGUCUGGCGUACCAGAUGACUGCCCAAAAUUCACCAUGCAUCCUCGGAGCUUUAAGCAUGCCAACGAUCCCUAGUUACAUAAUUCCAGGUUAAAGAUGAGGAAAAAUAAUUGGAAGUGCAUUAGAUCAAAUUCAGGCAUAAUUUCUAUGUAUCUGCUGUGUGAUGAGUAAGCUACAAGACUGAUAAUUUUUGUUUCUUUUGUUUUCAGCGAAAAAAUAUUGAAGAACCAGCUUGACAAUUAGGAUACAGGUAUGCAUGACAUUGGUUGAUCAAGAUAGUUCAGAAGUGGUUGUCAUAACAUAGCCGGAGAGACUUCAAUUUUGUACUCAGUAAAUGUAAAUCAAUGGUUAGUAUAUCCAUGCCUAUAUAUAUAUAUAUAUAUAUACCACUUGAAAAAGACAUAAUUAAACACUGCAAAAAAGGUUCUGCUACUGCACCCCUUUUUUCUUUUUUC
rnacentral:lncRNA from 1 species